UAUUUUGCUGCUUCUAAUGUUAUUUUUUGGUGAUAUUUCACAAUCUAUAUUUUUAUCCAUUAUGCUUCACAGACAGUGUCUUACACCAAUAAGCAUACAUUACCCAGUGAUAUCACAGCCAGGGAGAUCCUGAUGAGACGCCACACAAGCUUAUGACGCAGCCUCAGAGCUGGAAGAGCUUCCAUGGCACUAAUGCUGUCCCAGAAGUUUUUCUCUCUGCCCAUGGGUCAGAGUCUGAACUCUGGAUUUCAUCCAGGGAGACUUGGUCACACUGGAGAUUUUGAUACUGGAUCGGAGAUCGACUAUCCGUCAAACAGGCCCACGUCCAGGCAUCCACAGAGACUAUCAUCUACAGUAUUGAUGCCUCUCAGGCCACAAGUGGCUUAAUUCCUCUGUCAACAUUGUGGCUGAACAGAAUGAGAAGCAGAGGGGCUACAGGAUGACACAUCUGGGGUCAAACGUCAGCCAUUCAGGACAUCAGACCUCACGUCUGCCUUAUGGCUCAUCUAGAAACUAUAGUGACGAAGACCGUGAGGGUGAGGAGCAGCAGUCACGGUUGUCUCCACAUGCAGAACAACAGUGAUGUGCAGCACCCUUUGAUGAGGAGACCACACUGGCUGCCACAUAAACCACACGACCUGUUAAUGCAGCUGGACUGCUAUUACUUGUGGAAUUGAUCCCAUCACUUUAAAAGAAACCCAUAAAAACUAAACCACACUAGAGAAAACAGAAAGAACUUACUCCAUGUGAAACACA